UCUGUGAACUCCUCCGGUAGGCAGCAGUGGGGAAUUUUGGACAAUGGGGGCGACCCUGAUCCAGCAAUGCCGCGUGAGUGAAGAAGGCCUUCGGGUUGUAAAGCUCUUUUGUCAGGGGAGAAACGGUAGUAGCUAAUAUCUAUUACUAAUGACGGUACCUGAAGAAUAAGCACCGGCUAACUACGUGCCAGCAGCCGCGGUAAUACGUAGGGUGCAAGCGUUAAUCGGAAUUACUGGGCGUAAAGCGUGCGCAGGCGGUUGUGUAAGUCAGAUGUGAAAUCCCCGGGCUCAACCUGGGAAUUGCAUUUGAGACUGCACGGCUAGAGUGUGUCAGAGGGGGGUAGAAUUCCACGUGUAGCAGUGAAAUGCGUAGAUAUGUGGAGGAAUACCGAUGGCGAAGGCAGCCCCCUGGGAUAACACUGACGCUCAUGCACGAAAGCGUGGGGAGCAAACAGGAUUAGAAACCCUAGUAGUAAAUCAGCG
rnacentral:rRNA from 1 species